UUAAUUAUUAGGUUUUGAAAAACAUUUAUGUUGGUUGUGUGCAUUCGUGCAUUUUUCCGUUUAGUCUGUGGAAAGAAAACAUUUCCAUCUUCUACUAAACAGAAAAUGCUUCCAGCUUUUUUGCAGUGCUCAUUCUUCUUUGCAAAGUGCCUUCAGUGGAAUCAGGUAUUCGGGAUGGCUAUGGUUUUGUACGGCAACUGUGUUUUUGGGCAAAGAUUUCAUAUAUAAAUAUUUCAACGUUAGCUUGCGAUAUUGAAGUUUUAUGUAGAUUCCAUUGUCAAUGUGAAUGGGAUCGCUAUAAUAGCCUUCCACAAUCAGCGAUUAGGAGAAAUUGUUAGCAUCAUAGUGCUGGAAGGUUGAAGAAUGGUCUAGCCAUUUCAGCGGACAGUUAAGCACCAUGUGAAUUAAAGAUUUAAGACCUUUUCGGUGGAUGCUGUUCAGUUAUUUAUUUUUGUCAAAGUUGGCAAUACCUCAUGCAUCAAGCAUAAUUGAAAUCUGUAUGACACAAUCUGUUGCUGCUUCCGAAGGUGAUGUACUGGUCACAAAUGGCCUUGCUAUUAAAAACAACACAGGCAGCAGACCAAAACCACCAAUUGCACAUGUCGAUCUCAUUGAUAGCCACGGACAAAUGACUAUAGCAGUCAACAUCAACAAUAAACUAAUAGACAUUUUUGCCCCAAUUAUUCCUUGGUGCAAGUGUGCAUUUAAAGGAAUUCACUGUAAAGAAAAAAAGCCAAUAUGAAAGAGGAGAUGCUGAUUAUUGUCUACAACUGACUGCUAAAACAAUGAUUGAAAGUAUUGAUAAAGUAUGCAAGCAACAAAAGCUAACACCUGACACAACCAUAUCACAACUAAUCCACUCAACGGAUAGCUAUUCGUUUGGAACAGUAGGUGUACUUGUAACAGCUCACAAACAAGAGCCAACCGAAUUUCAAGUCCAAGUUAAAGAUGGAGAAUUACCAUCUGAUACAGCCACUCUGACAGUUCCAAAAAUUCAUACCAAUUCCUAUGCAACCCUGGAAAAACUCCUCACUCCAACAAAAUCAAAGUUUCUUCUACUUAAAAAUGUCAUUCGCAAUGGCACUAGAGGAGCAAGUAACAUAAAAUCAAGUUUGUCCACCUUCAUUGGUGAAUUGAAUGACGAAUGUACCAAAUCUUCUCUGCAAACACUUGGUUCAUCAAAUACCCAGGUUGCUGGAAUCUUGAGGACAAAAAUGUCUAUCUACCACCAUUUCAACCACUUUGCAACAUAUGCCAUCACAUAGUCUCUACGGCUCACAUUUCUACCAACAACAUAUCCCACUGCACAACAUGUGCAUCAACGACAACUUUUUCAUACCAACCCUUUUGCAAUGCACAAUUGAGACUAAAAAUGCAAAUAUUGACUGCAACUUACACAACAAACUUUUGCAAUAUAACUUUCUUGAACUUACAAAGAUACCAUUUGAACAUUAUGAGGAAGGCACUUCUAGACUAAUCUACCUGAUGUGAAAGUUUGACAUCCAAGGAACAUUGACACUUGCCAUGGACAAUUCCAUCAUUGCCAUUGCAAAAGAGGCCAGCAGUAGUCUAUAAAAGAAGUCUGCGUUUUCCAAGAAAAUUUUGGUCCACUACACUGUACUCUUAAGGUUCGUAAAAGAGAAGUUGAAAACAAGCAAAAGUUGGUUCAACUACCGGAUAGCUCAAAAUACUAUUCACAUACCUAUAAUUUUCAAAGAAACAUCGAUCUUAUUUUUGUUUUGUAAAUAACUAGUUAAAUAUCUUUCACAACAAACAUUCGAUAUUAUCCUUACUUUUUGUAAAUGCAAAUUUUGUGCACUCUUCAGAUACAUUCAUAACACAUUGUAUUAGACAUCAUACUUUCCAAACUUUCACUUUACUCUAGUUUUGAAAAGUUGUUCUUAGAGCACUGCAACCACUUAUCAUUUUUGCAACGAAUUUCACUUGUAAACUGUUUUUGAAAUUAUAUUAUAUGGAAAGAAAAAGUUUAUCA